rnacentral:lncRNA from 1 species
CCCCAAAGUGUCCCCAAGGUGUCCCCGGGUUGUGACCCCCGCUCUCUGUCCUCAGGGAUCCGCUGGCUUCCCGGGUCCCGUGGGGCUGGCGGGAGAGAAAGGGAAGAGGGUGAGUGCCCUACAACACACAACACCACCCCAUUGGGAUGUUCCCCGUCCCCAGAAGGAUUUUGGGGUGGGGGGGACACCCCCCGUGUGCUGCUGUCCCCCUCCCACCUCGUCUCUCCCCACAGGGCAAGGCUGGCCAGGCUGGGCAGACGGGACAGCGAGGGCCCCCGGGCCUGCCGGGGGAGCGAGGGCUGCCCGGCCCCACAGGGAAACCCGGCCCAAAGGUUUGUAGGAACUUGGUUUUGGGGUCCUCCUCGGCCCCGCUGUGUCCCCCCCCCCCUUGCUGCCACCCUUUUUCUGUCUCCCCAGGGGGAUCCUGGCCACGACGGGGCCCCCGGCGUUGUGGGGGAAAAGGUAAAGACACCACAUGGGGUGCACCCCUACAAAGCCACCCCAAAAAGGAACGGGGCCGAACGUGGGGGUAUCGGGGUGCCAGGCUUGAGGGGGGGGCACCAGAGCUUUUGGGGGAAGCUCCAGCGCCACCGCCAAAAUUUUUCCUUCUUCCCACAGGGCCCUCAAGGUCCGCAGGGUCCCCACGGCUUCCCAGGCACCAAAGGGCCCCCUGUAAGUUUUUUUUUGGGGGGGGGGCAGCGGGAUUUUGGCAUGUCCCCCUGCCCUCCCCUCCAUAACCCCCUGCUCCUGCCUAGGGCCCCCCCGGGAAGGACGGCUUGCCGGGACACCCAGGACAGCGUGGCG